CAGACCACGAAGGACGCAGCGUCUGAGAGGAGUCCCUCCACCCCCCACCACCCUGGGCAUCAUCACACCAUCAGCCAGCCCGAGGCUCACCCAAUCUGUCGGCCACGGAUCCACGGCAGGAAGAAGACUAGUGUCCCAAAGACAGUCAACUGUGGAUGACACCACUCCAACCACAGCUUCUGGGGAUCAGGCUCUGCUGCCCAGGGUGGAGACGAGUUCUUCGUCAUCAGUGCCCAGGAGUUGUUGUCAAACAAUGUCUCCAAAUGCUGUGACAUGGACAGCUGGGGCCGAGGCAGUGGCAGCCUUGGAGUUCACCCUGAAGAAAGGGUACAGAGAAGGGAGAGACAACAGCAAGGGAACUACCAGGUGCCCCCGACCCCACAAAGAAAGAGAUAAAGUGAGACCUGGAGACCUGAUGGGACUAGAGGCGAGAUAAAGGCAGAAAGAGACCGGGAGGAAAGACAAGACAAGCCCAGAUGGGCCUUGCUGGCCUAGACAAUAAAGCAAGUAUGCAGGAGAUUGAGAGGAGGGGGCGCAGGGCUCAGAGAGGGGCUAUGGAUUGGAGGGACACAGGGAGGUUCAUUUUCACAGAAGUGGAGCCAUGACUGCUGGACCUGACAGGGGCCUUCAUGUGAGAUCGGACAGGUAGCACUUUGGAGGGUUAGUGGAAAGAGGGGUUCUGUGAAAGGGGUGGGACUUUAUGGAAGAUCGAAAGUGGGGUGCUCCCUGAGGGGGUCCAGCCCACCUGGUAGCCAGCAGUUUGGAGGUGAACCCAUUGGCCUUGAGGAAAAAUAAGAAAGUCCGCUGGCUGUAGUUGUACCCGCAGCUCAGGAUGCCACAGAUGGCCCUGGAAGUGGAGGUGUUGGUGAGGUCACCGCCACCUCAGGUUGAAAGUAGCUUUCAGGGCUUAAGGCCCCACUCACCCCAGGGCCACAAAAAAGAAGAUCUCUGGUAAGUCAAAGGGUAUGUCCACUGGAAAGCUGGUCUUGUAGAUGGAGGUGAUGGUCUCUGAGGACGGAAGGAAGAAAGUGGGGAUCCUGUGCCAGCCUUCCACACCCUAACCCAGGCUCAGAAUAACUCGGGCAAGGAUGGGGGUGGCUUCUGACCUAACCCCAAAUUUCCCUGGAAUUCUAGGCACCGCAGUGACUCUCAACCUAAGAAUUUUGACUUCUUUGGGAAUCACAUAUCAGACACCCUGCGUCUCAGAUAUUUACAUUUUGAUUCAUAACAGUCAACAAGUUACGGGCUGGGGAAAUGCCUCAGCGGUUAAGAGCACUGACUGCUCUUCCAGAGGUCCCUGAGUUCAAUUCCCAGCAACCACAUGGUGGCUCACAACCAUCUGUAAUGGGAUCUGACGCCCUGUUCUAGUGUGUCUGAAGAGUACAAUGUACUCAUAUACAUAAAUAAAUCUUUUUAAAAAAAAAAAAAA
rnacentral:lncRNA from 1 species